rnacentral:rRNA from 1 species
CGCGUAGGCGGUUUUGUAAGUCGAAUGUGAAAGCCCCGGGCUUAACCUGGGAAUUGCGUUCGAUACUGCGAAACUAGAGUACGGUAGAGGGAAGUGGAAUUCCGGGUGUAGCGGUGAAAUGCGUAGAUAUCCGGAGGAACACCAGUGGCGAAGGCGACUUCCUGGGCCAGUACUGACGCUGAGGUGCGAAAACGUGGGGAGCAAACA